rnacentral:rRNA from 1 species
UAAUAGAUACAUACAUAUAUACCAGUUCUCGUCUGAUCACUGAAGUCAAGCAAUGUUGAGCUUGGUUAGUACUUAGAUGGGUAUGACCGCCUUGGAAAAUUAUGUAAUUAUGUUGU